CCUACGGGGGGCUGCAGUGGGGAAUAUUGGACAAUGGGGGGAACCCUGAUCCAGCCAUGCCGCGUGUGUGAAGAAGGCCCUCGGGUUGUAAAGCACUUUCAGUGAGGAAGAACGCCUGGUGGUUAAUACCCAUCAGGAAAGACAUCACUCACAGAAGAAGCACCGGCUAACUCCGUGCCAGCAGCCGCGGUAAUACGGAGGGUGCGAGCGUUAAUCGGAAUUACUGGGCGUAAAGCGCGCGUAGGUGGCUUGAUAAGCCGGUUGUGAAAGCCCCGGGCUCAACCUGGGAAUGGCAUCCGGAACUGUCAAGCUAGAGGGCAGGAGAGGAAGGUAGAAUUCCCGGUGUAGCGGUGAAAUGCGUAGAGAUCGGGAGGAAUACCAGUGGCGAAGGCGGCCUUCUGGACUGACACUGACACUGAGGUGCGAAAGCGUGGGUAGCAAACAGGAUUAGAUACCCGUGUAGUC
rnacentral:rRNA from 1 species